UGCCAGUUAAAUGAAGUGGUAUAAAAGGAGAGAGGAGGCAGAGGAGAGGUACACAGCAACCUGCACAGGUCCAGACGACGCAGCAGAAAAAUAGAAAAUGAAGGUCUUUGCUUUCGCUCUCUUGCUCCUGGUGGCCGUCACCUACGGUGAUGCCCUGCAGUGUAACAACUGUGUCCGUGAGGCCCCUGACUCUGGAAACUGUGUGGAGACUGUGGACACCUGUCCUCCAGAAAUGGAUGCCUGCGCCAAAAUUACCUACCCUGCCCCUCAUGAGAACACUUUCCACAAGUCCUGCUUCAAGAUGGCCGAGUGUCUGAAGCUGGCAUUCACUCAGGGACUGAAGGUCAGCUGCUGCAACUGGGACGGCUGCAAUGAAUAAGACUCCAGCUGGACUAUGAAAUACUUCAUGUACCCAGUUAAAAGCACAAUAAAAACUUAAAGCGUG